UACGUAGGCAGCAAGCGUUGUUCGGAAUUACUGGGCGUAAAGAGUGUGUAGGCGGUGUUCUAAGUCUGUUGUGAAAUCUCCCGGCUUAACUGGGAGGGUGCGGCGGAAACUGGAAUGCUAGAGGAUGGGAGAGGUAAGCGGAAUUCCUGGUGUAGCGGUGAAAUGCGUAGAUAUCAGGAGGAACACCUGUGGUGUAGACAGCUUACUGGACCAUUUCUGACGCUGAGACGCGAAAGCGUGGGUAGCAAACAGG
rnacentral:rRNA from 1 species